rnacentral:rRNA from 1 species
GACGAACGCUGGCGGCGUGCUUAACACAUGCAAGUCGAACGGAAAGGCUCCAGCUUGCUGGAGUACUCGAGUGGCGAACGGGUGAGUAACACGUGGGUAAUCUGCCCUGCACUCUGGGAUAAGCCUGGGAAACUGGGUCUAAUACUGGAUAUGACCUUUCUCCUUAUAGGGUUUGGUGGAAAGUUUUUCGGUGUAGGAUGAGCCCGCGGCCUAUCAGCUUGUUGGUGGGGCGAUGGCCUACCAAGGCGACGACGGGUAGCCGGCCUGAGAGGGUGAUCGGCCACAUUGGGACUGAGAUACGGCCCAGACUCCUACGGGAGGCAGCAGUGGGGAAUAUUGCACAAUGGGCGGAAGCCUGAUGCAGCGACGCCGCGUGAGGGAUGACGGCCUUCGGGUUGUAAACCUCUUUCAGCAGGGACGAAGCGUAAGUGACGGUACCUGCAGAAGAAGCACCGGCUAACUAUGUG